rnacentral:ncRNA from 2 species
GAUGGCAGGUCAAGAGAAUGUUUAUCUCACUUAGAUAAGCUACCGAAGGCGCAAAUACCCAUAAUCGCUCAGGUUCUAGUAUUGUCCUGUCAGA